AAAUAAGUAAGCUAAAUAAAGCUUUUAGGUUCAUACCCUAAAAAUAGAACUAUCUUAAUUAUUCUCUUAUUUA
rnacentral:tRNA from 1 species